UCUCCGACUUCGCAGCUUCUUAGUAGGAGUGGCCUGGAGGGAAAGAAGACUCGGCGCAAUCGAUCAGUCUUAUAACGUGUCUACUCAAAAGUAAGGUUCGCUGAACCCAGUGGGGCUAACUCACAGUUUCUUUCAGAUAUUCCUUAAUUAUUACUGCAAGAAAUUAGUGUGCAUGCAUAGUCAAGAACUUGAAAACUAAAACCUUGGUUUUAAAUCAAAUUACCCUGAAGAUUGGAUUGCAGAACUGAAUACAUAGCCCCCAUCCCCACACAUAUAGAAAUAUGUACAAAAGAAGAUUGAAGCCAAGCUGGAUAUUUUGGGAUCAUUGGGUAGUUAACUUGCACUUCGUCACAGAACCAUUUUGUGAGCUGAUCAACCCUUAAAGCACUGUUUGUCGAUAGUCAGAUGGUGGUGGUGGCCAGGAUUGCCUUUUACCAGCUUUGGCUGAUGUGCCAGUUGUGUCCCUUCAAAGUGACUGCUUUAAUCACCUCACGUUUAGAUUACUGUAACACACUCUACCCUUGAGUGUCCAUAAACUUGAUCUGAUGGAAAUGUAGCAGCCAGACAGUUAUCUGGCAUGCCUUUUUUAAUAAACCAUAGAGCACCAAUAUUGAAAUAGCUG